GCGGUGGAGCAUGUGGUUUAAUUCGAUGAUACGCGAGGAACCUUACCUGGGCUCAAACGCAUGAUGACGUAUGGUGAAAGCUAUAUUUCUUCGGACAUUAUGCGAGGUGCUGCAUGGUUGUCGUCAGCUCGUGCCGUGAGGUGUCGGGUUAAGUCCCAUAACGAGCGCAACCCCUAUCAUUAGUUGCCAUCAGGUCAAGCUGGGGACUCUAAUGAAACUGCCUACGCAAGUAGUGAGGAAGGCGGGGAUGACGUCAAAUCAGCACGGCCCUUACGUCCAGGGCUACACACGUGCUACAAUGGCCAGUACAAAGGGCAGCUACCUGGUGACAGGAUGCUAAUCUCAAAAGCUGGUCUCAGUUCGGAUCGAAGUCUGCAACCCGACUUCGUGAAGCUGGAAUCGCUAGUAAUCGCGCAUCAGCCAUGGCGCGGUGAAUACGUUCCCGGGCCUU
rnacentral:rRNA from 1 species